AUUGAACGCUGGCGGCAGGCCUAACACAUGCAAGUCGAACGAGUGGCGGACGGGUGAGUAAUGUCUGGGAAACUGCCAGAUGGAGGGGGAUAACUACUGGAAACGGUAGCUAAUACCGCAUACCAUCGGAUGUGCCCAGAGUGGAUUAGCUAGUAGGUGGGGUAAAGGCUCACCUAGGCGACGCUCCCUAGCUGGUCUGAGAGGAUGACCAGCCACACUGGAACGUGGACACGGUCCAGACUCCUACGGGAGGCAGCAGUGGGGAAUAGUGCACAAUGGGCGCAAGCCUGAUGGAGCCAUGCCGCGUGUAUGAAGAAGGCCUUCGGGUUGUAAAGUACUGUCAGCGGGGAGGCGUUACCCGCAGAAGAAGCACCGGCUAACUCCGUGCCAGCAGCCGCGGUAAUAC
rnacentral:rRNA from 1 species